AAGGAAAAAAUUAUUUAGUUAAAAAAUUUUUAUGGACUUGGAAAAAAAAAUUUUAUUUUUAUUAUUGGUAAAGAAAAAAGUUUAUUAAUUAUAGAAAAUUAGUAUUGAGAAAGAAAUUUAAAUAAUUUUUUAAUAGAAGAGUUUAAUUUUUGUACCUUGUGUAUCAGGGUUUAUCAAUUAAAAUUUUAGGAUUAAUUUUUCUCGAGUUUAAAAGAGCUAUUUAGGUAUAAUUUUUAUUGUGGAAUAACUAUUAUUUAUAUUUUUAUAGAAGCGAAAGACUAAUCGAUUUUAAGUAUAUCUAGUUUUUUAAGAAAAAAAUUUAAUUUUAUUUUUAUUUUAUUAUAAAAUUACCUUUUUAGUUUUAUAGUAGUAAAAUUUUAUAUUUUUAGGGAUAAGCUUAAAAAUAGAUUAAUAUAAUUUAUUGAGAAUUAUUUUGAUAAAUAGGAUUUUUAGUUUUUAUUUUUAUUAGUGUUUUUUUACUAAUCAAAUAUUAAAUAUAAUUUUUAUUUAAUUUAUAUGAUUUAUUAAGAUAUAAAUUUAAAUUUUUGAGAUUUAGCAAUUAUGAUAAAAUUAGUAUAAAAAAUUGUUUAAAUUUUAUUUGAAUUUUAGGUUAAUUAAAGGAAUUCGGCAAAGGCAUUUUUCACCUGUUUAUUAAAAACAUGGCUUUUUGAAAAUAAUUUAAGGUCUGACCUGCCCAAUGAAAAAUUCAAUGGCCGCAGUAUUUUAACUGUGCAAAGGUAGCAUAAUCAUUAGUUUCUUAAUUAGGGGCUUGUAUGAAGGGUUGAAUGAAAAAAUAGCUGUCUCUAUUUAAAUUAAUUAGAAUUUUAUUUUUAAGUUAAAAAGCUUAAAUUUGUAUUGAAGACGAGAAGACCCUAUAGAGUUUAAUAUUAAAAUUAUCUUGAAUUUUUAGUAUUUAAAAAUCUUGGUUUAUUUAGUAUUUGAUUGGGGUGAUUAAGAAAUUAAUUGAACUUUCUUUUUAUCUAAUCAUUGAUUUAUGAAUAAUUGAUCCUUUUUAAAAGAUUAUAAGAUAAAAUUACCUUAGGGAUAACAGCGUAAUUUUUUUUAAGAGCUCUAAUCGAAAAAAAAGAUUGCGACCUCGAUGUUGGAUUAAAAUGAAAUUUUGGCGUAGCAGUUAAAAGUUUUGGGUCUGUUCGACCUUUAAAAUUUUACAUGAUCUGAGUUUAAACCGGUAUGAGCCAGGUUGGUUUCUAUCUCUAUAAAUUUAAAAUAUUUUAGUACGAAAGGACCAAAUAUUUAAUUUAAAAUUUAUAGUAAGAAUUCUAUUAAUAUAAA
rnacentral:rRNA from 1 species